GAUGUUCUUUCUUGCUUCCUCACAAAGCUGCAGAUAGAUCACAAGAAAUCAUGAAUUACAAAUUUGCAUGCGCAAUCCUGCUCUUCACUUUCUUCAUCGUUUUGCCUGAUAUCAUCGAGGCUAAACCGCUUCUAAACGGAAGUAUCUUCGGAAAGAGAUCCCCUUUUGAUCUUGACAAUGAAACUAACCCUAGAAUACGUUAUGCCGUUUGUGAAGCAGCAUUACAAACUUGCAGUCAAUGGUUUACAUCAUGUGCAGAUUCUAUGACAAAGUAGAAUAAAAAGAUGGAAAUCCAAGUAAUAUAAUUGCAGCGAUACAUAGCAUUUUUGAAUAUAUGUAUUGAUGUAUUUCAAUAAAAUUGUUGCAUG